AUAUGAAAAUGGUUGUAAAAUAUUUAAUAUUAUUAUGUUGCAAAAAUAUUUUAGUAACAAACAAAAGGAUACAAUUUCCACAUGACCAAUCCACAUAACCCUGUUUAAACUGGUGGUCAGCAUUAGGGAGAUUAACUGCACUAAGCGUAUCGAGAUUGAUCUUCACUCUCGGUGACAUCAAGGUUCUGCAUGUCUCCACAAUGUUAGAGUUCACUGAUAUCUUUAUCAAAGAGCUUUCGACCUCCAUCUCCAGCAGGUCCAGCCUCAAUGUCUGCAUUGCCAGCACUUCAACUGCAGGGGCAUUCUAGACAAAAGGGUGGUGCUCUCUUGCUGGGCCUGUGUGCCCCUACUGGACCUUUUGAGCUCUAUAUGGCUAGGUUAAUAGGCAAGGAUCACUGUUGAUUGGUUCUCUUGCUAUAAACCCAGGUCAUCCUUACCUAUAUAUGUGUACCUUCGUAUCCUACAGAACCAAUCUACUAUUCCAUGUGCCUAAUACAACUUACUGGCACAAUUAAAGAUCACAUGAAAAACACACCGACAACAUAUCCUUUUAGUCCCAACCAUGUGAGGGUAUACCCUACAGAUGGCCAAACGAGAGCCACAUGAAGCGUAGUAUAGCAAUUUAGAAUCGUUGCCUCUUAGUUCAGCGUCCUAGUCAGUU
rnacentral:lncRNA from 7 species